rnacentral:rRNA from 1 species
CCUACGGGGGGCAGCAGUCGAGAAUCAUUCACAAUGGGGGAAACCCUGAUGGUGCGACGCCGCGUGGGGGAAUGAAGGUCUUCGGAUUGUAAACCCCUGUCAUGUGGGAGCAAAUUAAAAAGAUAGUACCACAAGAGGAAGAGACGGCUAACUCUGUGCCAACAGCCGCGGUAAUACAGAGGUCUCAAGCGUUGUUCGGAAGCACUGGGCGUAAAGCGUGCGUAGGCUGUUUCGUAAGUCGUGUGUGAAAGGCGCGGGCUCAACCCGCGGACGGCACCUGAUACUGGGAGACUAGAGUAAUGGAGGGGGAGCCGGAAUUCUUGGUGUAGCAGUGAAAUGCGUAGAUAUCGAGAGGAACACUCGUGGCGAAGGCGGGUUCCUGGACAUUAACUGACGCUGAGGCACGAAGGCCAGGGGAGCGAAAAGGAUUAGAUACCCUGGUAGUC